rnacentral:rRNA from 1 species
AACGUAGGAGACAAACGUUAUCCGGAGUUACUGGGCGUAAAGGGCGUGUAGGUGGUUUCGUAAGUCUGGCGUGAAAUUUUUCGGCUUAACCGGGAAAGGUCGUCAGAUACUGCAGAACUAGAGGACGGUAGAGGCGUGUGGAAUUCCGGGUGUAGUGGUGAAAUGCGUAGAGAUCCGGAGGAACACCAGUGGCGAAGGCGACACGCUGGGCCGUACCUGACACUGAUGCGCGACAGCAUGGGGAGCAAACAGG